UCUUUUGACAGAACAGCAUUCAGAAAUAAUGUCUUAUGCUUGAUAAGUUUAUUGAGUAUUUAAUUUUAUUCGCAUUAUUAGCAUUCAAAAACGAUAUUAUUCAACAACAACAAAAAAAACUUUUAAAACUAUGGUACUAUAUUUGAAAACACGGACGGUUACUGUUUUAUUUUGAUCGAUUUUAGUUAGUUAAAUGUGCUGUUUAAUUGGUUUGACGUGUCAGCUAAUAACACUGCUCGCUACAAUAUUGCUGGCGGCCCUUAUUGCUGUAGGGAUUGUAACAGUCGUCAAGUCAAUGAUGUGAAGUGAGCACUUAAGUCCAUAUGGCAAAUAAUAACCAGUUUGGAUUUUUUUGAGGAUGGCAACUAGACAACCAAUUAGCGAGACGUUAAGCAAGGCAACUAUUAUAAAGACUAUUUAGGCACCACGGGAGUUGAGUACGCUAGUGAACUAGCACAUGGAAAAUUGAAUAAAAUGAAAUAAGAAAUAAGAGAUAAUACAAGUCCACGCCGUAAAUGUUGGGUAACAUGAAUUUAAUAAUAAAAGAUUUCAAUAAAAUUAUAUGAAUGAAAAAAAAUCCUUCCUGUUUUAAAAGUGUCCAAGAAACCACGUCCAGCGAUUUUGUUUGCUGUUAACACAAUUGUAAACCUUCCCAAUUAAAAAAAAUAAGCCACCACUAAA